UUCCUUGCCAACCCAACACCACUUUAACCCCAGGCCCAUUCCUCCUCCAGCCCAUUUAUCCAACACAUUAAAUCCCAACCCAAACCCAAUAAACGACCCGACCCAACUUCCCUCUCCCUCUUAACCCGCUCCGACCCAAACUCCCUCCCCGCGUCUCGUCUCCCCACGCUCUCACCCUCCUCUCUCCAUCGCGCGUGAACGAGCAGCGCAACGGACACCUGCUGUCCUGUUGCCGCGUACGCUGUCUUGCAGCACAAGACGACGCGAGGUCGUCCUUGCUUGUUCGAAGAUGAUGACACGUCGCCUUGCAAGGACGCCCAAUUCAUCUCGACCCUCCACCUCCCUUCCCGCUCGAAUCGUCCUUCCGAAUAAGGGGGGAAUUCGAAUUUCGAAUGGGGAUGGGCCUGAAAUGGGUUUUUCGGCCAGCCCUCGUCCUCUUGGAACCCUAAAAGUCUUCUAUAAAAAAAACCCCUUCCGCCUUCAGAAAACGGGGUGUUGAAAUUUUUGGUUGGGAUUUUUUUGAGAAAGAUCUAAGAGAAAUUUUCAAAAAAAAAAAUAACAGAGACAUAGUAGUGAGUUUUUUUUUAGAGAGAAAGCACAGUGAAAGGCUUAGAAGUUGUCAAGACCUUUUGAAAGGAGAACUAGUUUCGGUUUUUUGAGUUUGAUAUUCUGUUCGAAUUCCUUGGUCGCUGCUCGAGUUGGAACUUUUGUGAUUGAGGUUGUCGGUGCUCUCCUCGUUUGUCCCAGAUCGCCGCCUCGGAAACGGUCAAAAAAAAAACCAGCAGAAGCUGCUGGAAAAAUUGUUGCAGGGAUUUGAAGGAGAUGUAUACAGCAGUAUACAUGUUUUAUACACAGUUGUGCACUGAUAUACAGGUUGAAGGCGUACAUAUGGAUCCGAGUUCGAAAUCUGGUUCGAUGACAGGGAAAUUACACUCCUGAAAAGGAGUUUUCAACUUUUGAAAGUUGAAAAACAGUCUGAUAUACAGCCUGUAUACACAGAUAUACCAGAACGAUAUACUAUAGAUAUGCUUAAAAAAUAUGAUUGGCAGGGGAAUGUACAGGGACGCUUUAUUUAACUAAAAUUCGGGAUUAGGCAAUUAAUGCGGACGUAGGGUGCAGCCCGUAUACAUUAGUAUACAUUAUCAGGCGAAGAUAUACACUUGUUAAGUAAGUUUUAAAAAUGAUACAGGUACAAAUACGCAGGGAAAUACAGGGAAAAACAACGGGAAAUAUGUAUUCAAACAGGUGCAGGGAUCGAGAGGUCCAAAUGGGUCAAAUAUAUACUGUAUACAGCAUGUAUACAUUUGUAUAUACCCUUCAUGAUCUAUUUUUCAGGAAUGGGCCAGGGCCCUUCAGCAAUUUUUAACAGGCCCAAGGGGCCACAAUGUUUUUUAUGCAGGAUUUUUAAUUUGUUGAAAGGGCCCAAGUUCAUAUUUGAAAUUAGAUAGGACAGGUGGGCUUUACCCAAUGGAAUGAAUUUGGGCAAUAAGGCCCAAGUUCAAAUUAUUUCCCCUCUUUAUUUAUUACUUGCUUGAA